rnacentral:lncRNA from 1 species
AUUUCAAUUCUUUAAUUUUCACUAUUUUUGAAUCGUUCUUCUUCCGAUCAAUCACUUGGGCUAUUUUCUAGUAAGUAAUUUUCGUUUUUUCUCUUCUUUUCUAAUUUUAUUCUAAUGUAUGUUACUUUGUGCAGUGCUCUAAUUACUUGACAUUAGUUAAAUGGUUAUGAUUGAUUUAAACAUAAAAUAUUUGGUUACAAAAUUAUUAUGAGCCUGUGCUAGAAAAUUAUUAUCAAUUUUAAUAUUAAACGAUUAUCACAAAUCAAUUCAAUUAUAAGUGUUGAAAUCAAUCAAUUUAUUUAUUCUAAUUUUAAAAUUUAUUUUUAAAAUAUAAAAUAUGAGAUUAAGCUUCUCUUCAUUUAGUUUCAUUAUACAUCAAAAAUUAACCAUAAAAAUUAGAAGUGUGAAUUGUUAUACUCUGAACCCAAUCCUUAGAUUAGGAGAGACUGAUAUAUGAAAACAUUUUUUAUCGCAUAAUAAAAAAAUAAAGAAUUUUUCUCUUUUGUGCAUGUCACAUGUGAAUAUUUAUUUGGAUUAAUGUAUCUCAAAUCUAAUAUAAUCUGAAUUUUUGAAUGAAUUUAUAUCCAAUAACCUUAAAUAACUACAACUGGCUUGUGGAUUAGCAAUCGAUAUUAACUAUUUAGAGUGUGAGUGUCUUGUACAAUUAACGAUGGUUUUGAAAUUUUUCAUCCAUUAUGUCUACCGAUUUUACACCAUGUGAGUCUACCUUUUGAAUGACAGAUGUCAUGUUAUAUUUUUGGCUUCUCUUCUUCUUUAAUUACAAAUCAAUUUCCAAUUUCAUUCAUAUAAUUGUUUCAUUCUGCUUUCUCUUUCUAGUAGGUACCUAUGUUUCUUCUUCAUCUUUUAUUUUUGCUCACUUUUUUAAUUUAAUUUGUUGAUUCCCUUUCUAAAUUUUCAGUAAUGCCUACGAUUAUCCAUUUGUCAUGUUUUUGAAUUUCUUAUUAGUACAUCUAAAAGUAGCUUAGAUUCAUUUACCUAAGUUUCACUCUUUUUUAGUCUUUCUCUUUUCUCUUCCUCUAGUUUAUCGCUUGAAUUAUUUUCUGGUCAGUUUCUUUCGUACUUGUUUUUCUUUUCUAAUUUCAUUACACGGUAUGUUACUUUCUGUAUUUUAAAAAAUAAUUUUUCUUUUCUACUUUAAUUACAUGGUAUAUUACUUUUUUUUUUGAAAAAUUAUUUCUUUACAUAAUUAAACUUAUGAUUAUGAUUGAUAUAAACAUAGAGACUUUGGUUACAAAAUUAUUAUGGCCCUCUGUUAGGAAAAUAUUGUAAAUUUUAGUAAUAUUAAUCAAAUUUAGUGAUUAGUUCUAAGGCAUAAUGACCUGGGAGACUGUUAUACUUGGCUUUGUCUGUCAGUUGGACCCUUAUACUCACGACUUGAACCUUAUAACUCACAAAAAUGCAAUACUUUAAACAUCUUUCUUAUUAUAUGUGUGUGAAUGUAGCACAACUGCUUACACAUAAAAUUCCAUGUCAUUUUAUAGAAUUCCAUGUCAUAUAAGAAAUUAAAAUCUAAAAAAAAUAAAAUAAGUUUGCACAUUAAUAUUUUUAGUAUCAUGUUCUUAAUAUUUGCUCAUAAUUGAUCACUAAAUUCAUGUCAAAUUGGUCUAAUUCUUUCUACUUGACAUGAAUUUUUUUACACUCAAAGCUUACCAACAUAGACCCAGUAAUUUUCAAUCAUAAUUUUGAAUAAUUUUCAUAAAUUUAGAAAAUUUCAUUUGUUAUUCUUCAAACUUCUUCAUGAAAUUUUUCAACUUUUCAGUAUAUAUCAUUACUCUUCACAAUUGCAAAAUUAUCUCAACUUCAAUCUUUCACAAUCGAAAGCCCAGAUUUUAGAAGUGUGUAAAUUGAUCAAGAUUCAUAGAGAAGAAUUUUGAAUUCUAAAAUUAAAGAAAUUAAAAUGGUUGAGAUAAUUUUGGUUAGGUGGGGUAAGGGUGGGGGCGGGUGUUAAGAAGAAGAAGAAGAAGAAUAAGAAGGGGGAGGGGUAGGGUGGGGUGGUGGGUGGUUUAAAGGAAGAAGGAGAGGGUGGGGUGGGGGCUAAAGGAAGAAGAAAGUUUCAAGUGAAGGAGUGGGGUGGGAUAGGGGACUAAUGGGUUGAUUUUUCUCUUUUUAAAUUUAAAUUAUUACUAAUGAUAGUUAAUACAAAAAAAUAUAUAGUCACUCGCUUUAAGGCAUGUGCAGUCAAGUAUUUUUCCAUCUCAAGUAUAAUGGUUCAACUAACAAAUAGAAUCAAGUACAAGGGUCUUCCAAGUUAUUUUGCCUAGUUAUAAUAUCAAUCAAUUUUGCUACAAUUUUCAGAAUAUGUCAACAAUGAUCAUUUAUAUCAUCAUUAUAGUUCAUAAGUCUUAGUGAAUGUUAUCACUUUUUUUUUUUUGAAAUUAGGUAUUAGGCCUAGCUCACACCCAAAAGUUAGCUUAAAGGGGGGAGGAUUUCCCAAGGCUUAUAAGGAAUUUACCCAUAUCAUGAAUCACCGAUGUGGGACUUUAGUCAUUCUUUAACACCCCACCUCACGCCCAGUGCUUAGCAUUUGAUGCGUGGGCAAUUUUGACUUUGGGGGUCCCAACAUUUGGUGAGACUUGCCCUACUAUAGCAUAUGAAAUUAGGUCUUAAGCCUACCUCACACCCCAAAAGCUAGCUCAAAGGGAGGAGGAUUUUUCAAACCUCAUAAAGAGUCCACCCAUCUUAUUAAUCAGCGAUGUGAGACUUUUGUCAUUCGUUAACACCACACCUCACGCCCAGUGCUUAGCAUUUGGUGUGUGAAAAAUUUUGGUUUUGGGGGCCCCAACAUCGGGUGAGACAGGCCCUGCUCUGAUACCAUGUAAAAUUAGGUCUUAGGCCUAGCUCACAACCCAAAAGCUAGCUCAAAGGGAGGAGGAUUUUCCAAGCCUCAUAAGGAGUCCACCCAUCUCAUUAACCACCAAUGUGGGACUUUUGUCAUUCUUUAACACCCCACCUCACGCCCAGUGCUUAGCAUCGGUGUUAGCAUAUGGGCGUGGACAAUUUUGAUUUUGGGGGCCCCAACAUCGGGUGAGGAAGGCCCUACUCUGAUACCAUGUGAAAUUAGGUCUUAGGCCUAGCUCACGACCCAAAAGUUAGCUCAAAGGGAGGAGAAUUGUCCAGCCUCAUAAGGAGUCUAUCCAUCUCAUUAACCACCGAUGUGGGACUUUUGUCAUUCUUUAACACCCCACCUCACGCCCAGUGCUUAGCAUCUGGUCUGUGGGCAUUAAUAAGACAUUGAUAUAAUAAAAUACGUAUGAGAGCGUAAAUUAAAUGAAUAUCUACAUAUAAAUAUGAUCAUACUAAUAAUAUGAAUUGAUGUAUGACUAUUACUAAUUAAGGUGUGUUACUCAUAAAUUAAGAUCUACCUAUAAUUAAAUAUAUGAAUUUCUAAUCUUUCACUAAGAAGUUUUUGAGUAGGAAAAACUUCAUUCGUUUUUGGAAAUCUAGAAUUUGUUUGAAAAGUCAUUUUAUAAUUGAAAUUAUGUCACGAUCAAAAAUGAAUAGUAAGUGUUACCCACACUUAACCUUUUAAGUGGGCAAAUCAAGAAUUCUUAACCCCAACUUAUAUCAAUAAUUCAACUACGCAUACCAAUAAAAUAUGGAAGCUUAAAACUUAUUGAAGUAACCAAUCAAAUAAACAUCUAAAGUUUAACACUUAUCAUCCCAAAUAUCUAAAAGUUAUCACAUCAAUGACAUCUAUUUUUAAAAUACCCAGUCAAAAAGUAUUAGUGACACCAAAGUAAGUAAAUAAAAGGGUUCAUGUCCAAAAUUUAAGGACAUCAUACCCUGACUGAGAUAAUCCAGCACGAGCUAGAAGGAAUAGGUCACCCUGAAAUAUGAGGUGCUGGAGAAUGGCUAGAGUUGAGGGCGAGUCGAAGUCGAUGAUAGACUUGUUGCCCUCCACAAAAGAAAAAACGAAGAAAACACAAGUAGGGGCCAGUACAAGAAACACGUACUGAGCAGGUAUCAUCAGCCAACCCAAAAUAGAAACUAAUAUAUAUUGAAUAAUAGUAUAAAAUCAACUAUGAUACUUGACAGGUGGCAAGCAACAAACAACAUAAACCAGUAACAACAACACCAUAGUAGGUACACAGUCAAUCACAAUAUCAAGAACACAUAUGAGGACUCAUGCCUCCACACCAUACUCAUUUGGGAAAUGGAUUCUUUGAGAUUAAGUACAUUAAGUUAAUCCAAGAUUUCUUUCCUUUAAUGUUAUCGUGUUGGAAUGUGACACUUUUAUCCAAUUAUAUCGUGUUGGAACGUGAUACUGUCACGACCCAAAUCCGGGCCGCGACUGGCACCCACACUUACCCUCUUAUGUGAGCGAACCAACCAAUCUAAACCUUAACAUUUCGAUAUAAUGUCAACAUAAAGUAAUGCGGAAGACUUAAACUCAUUAAUAAAAACCAAUUCAAUAACUAUUAUUUCCCAAAAUCUGGAAGUCAUCAUCACAAGAACAUCUACUUAAAAUUACUAAAUCUAAGAGUUUCUAAGAAGCUAAAAAUACAUAAAAGCUAGUCCAUGCCGGAACUUUAAGGCAUCAAGACAUGAAGAGGAAGAUCCAGUCCAAGCUAGAAGCAUUAGCUCACCCUGAUAUCCGGAGUAAUGAAGACUGGCUAGAGUUACUGUUGAGUCGAAGAUGACGGCACGUUUGCUGCACUCCACAAAUAAACAAGAAGAAAACAUAAAAGUAGGGGUCAGUACAAAGCACGGGUACUGAGUAGAUAUCAUCGGCCAACUCAAAAUAGAAAUCAAUAUAUACCAAGUAAUAUCAUAAAAUCAACUAUGAUACUCAACAUGUAGCAACAGCAAGUACUAUAUCAUUAACAAUUACCGUCAGUUCACACAUGAGGACUCAAGCCUCAAUACCGUACUCAUUUGGGAAUUAUGUUCAUUAGAUUGAGUAUAUUACCAUCUUUCAAGAUUCAUUAUCUUUAUUUCUCUUGUGUCGGUACGUGACACUCCGCUCCCUCAUAUUCAUUAAUCCUCUUGUGUCGGUACGUGACACUCUGCUCCCCUAAAUCUACGUGUCGGUUCGUGACACCCGAUCCCCUAAAUCUACGUGUCGGUUCGUGACACCCGAUCCCCUAAAUCUACGUGUCGGUUCGUGACACCCGAUCUCCUAAAUCUACGUGUCGGUUCGUGACACCCGAUCCCCUAAAUCUACGUGUCAGUUCGUGACACCCGAUUCCCUAAAUCUACGUGUCAGUUCGUGACACCGGAUCCCCUAAAUCUACGUGUCGGUUCGUGACACCCGAUCCCCUAAUCUCCUUCUAUCAAUUCAUCAGGCCUUCUUUCUUACCAAGGCAUCAUCAAUCUCAUUAUUUUAGUUCAUCACGCCUUCUUUUAUACCAAGGCCUCAUUAUUACAUUCAUGCAAGCAUUGGGAUUCAAGAUUUGGGAUUCAAUAACUUCAUCGUGCUUAUAUAAUCACGAUUAUAUAAUUACAUUCAUGCAAGCAUACAAUUAAGCACAUAGCAGGCUUUACAAUAUUAUCAAUACAUAUCAUUCGCUAUUAAGAGUUUACUACGAAUAUCGUAAGGGAAACCAUAACCUACCUCCACCGAAGAUUCGUGAUCAAGCAAGCAAUUUCCCAAGCUUUGUGUUUUUUCCUCUCGUUCGAUCCUCUCUCUAUCGUUUCUCGUUCCUUCUCUUUGUUCUUUCUAUUUUCUUUAUUCAAACCCUCUUUCUUUUACCCUAAUUAGUAUAUAAUUAAGAAUAAAAGAUGGCAAUAAUAACCCACUAAUUAACUUAAGGUUACCUCUUUUAACCCCCAAGUAAUUAGACUUAUUAACAUUGAUCCACUAACAUUAUAAUUAAAGCAGGAAUAGUCAAAAACGUCCCUUAAAACGUAUCAAGAAAUCUGACCCAGACUGGGAUUACGCAAUCUGUGACGGCCCGUCGUGCCUGUGACGGCCCGUCGUGCCUGCGACGGUCCGUCCUGCUGCUCCGUCACAGAGUUCAGAGACUCAAUUUCUCUGAAGAGUCUGUGACGGUCCGUCCUGCCAUUCCGUUACGAUGUUCAGAGAGUUGAUUUUCAGUACCCAAUUUCAGAUUUUUCCAAGUGUUUUGAAACGAGACCCUGCGACGGUCCGUCGUGCCCAUUACGGUCCGUCGUGGGGUCCGUCGCCUCGGCCUGUUUUUCCAGAAAUAAAAUCUGCUGCUCAAAACGACUAAACAGGUCGUUACAAUAGAUACCAAUUUACCCAUCGUUCGUCCCUGAACGAUCACAAGAAGGAAAACAAGGGCGAAAAGGAGUACCUGAAUCUGUAAACAGAUGUGUGUAUCUUUCUCGCAUAUCUGCCUCCUUCUUCCAAGUGGCUUCUUCAACGGGUCAAUUCUUCCAUUGAACUUUGAUGGAUGCAAUCUCCCUGGAGCUCAACUUGCGAACUUCUCUAUCUAAAAUGGCAACAGGUUCCUCCUCAUAAGAUAAAUUCUCAUCAAGCAAAACUGAAUCCCAACGGAUAAUGUAGUUUCCAUCCCCAUGGUAUCUUUUCAACAUCGACACAUGGAAUACUGGAUGCACUCCGGACAGCCAUGGAGGCAAGGCUAACUCAUAAGCCACCUCCCCUACUCGCUUAAGUACUUCAAAUGGACCAAUAUACCUUGGGCUAAGUUUACCUCGCUUACCAAACCGCAUCACCCCUUUCAUUGGCGAAACCUUCAACAAGACUUGUUCACCCUCCAUAAACUCCAAGUCUCUAACCUUCCGAUCUGCAUACUCCUUUUGUCUACUUUGCGCCGCUAGAAGCUUUUCUUGAAUAGAUUUCACUUUAUCUAACGAUUCCCUCAGAGGGUCAGUACUCCAAGGUCUGACUUCAAAUGCAUCAAACCACCCAAUGGGAGACCUACAUCUUCUCCCGUAUAGUGCCUCAAAUGGGGCCAUAUCAAUACUUGAGUGAUAGCUAUUGUUGUAGGAGAACUCUGCUAAAGGUAAGAAGCUAUCCAACUGACCACCAAAUUCAAUCACACAUGCACGAAGCAUAUCCUUCAACACUUGAAUCGUUCGCUCAGACUGACCAUCGGUGUGAGGAUGGAACGCAGUACUAAGGUCCAACCUAGUACCCAAUUCCGCAUGUAAUGUUUUCCAAAACUUACAAGUAAACUACGUACCUCUAUCUGAUAUAAUGGAGAGUGGAACCCCAUGCAAUCGCACCACUUCCGAGAUGUAAAGUUUGGCUAACUUCUCUGCAUUGUAAGUAACCUUGACCGGAAUGAAAUGAGCAGACUUAGUUAACCUUUCAACAAUUACCCAAAUAGAAUCAAACUUUCCCAAUGUCUUUGGAAGACCAACCACGAAAUCCAUUGCAAUCCUUUCCCACUUCCAUUCAGGAAUGGGCAUUCUCUGAAGUGUUCCUCCGGGCCUUUGGUGUUCAUACUUUACUUGUUGACAGUUUGGACAUUUGGCAAUAAAAUCCACAAUAUCACGCUUCAUUCUACUCCACCAAAAGUGUUGUUUUAGGUCACGGUACAUCUUUGUUGCACCCGGAUGUAUCGAAUACCUUAAACUAUGAGCCUCUGUCAGAAUAGUGUUGAUCAAAUUAUCGACGCGGGGUACACAUACCCUUCCCUUGAUCCUUAAAACACCUUCCUCAUCGAUUUGUGCUUCCUUAGCCUCUCCUCGCAAUACCUUAUCUUGGAUUCUGCGCAGUUUCUCAUUAUCAAACUGUAUUCCCUUAAUCUUGUCAAGAAAGGAAGAUCUUGCCUCCACACAAGCCAACAAUCCUCCCUUCUCAUUUACUUCUAAUCUCAUAAGGUCGUUAGCCAGAGUCUGAACCUCUCUAGCCAAUGGACGUCUAGAAACCUGCAAGUGAGCUAGACUUCCCAUGCUCCCUGUCUUUCUACUUAAGGCGUCUGCCACAACAUUAGCCUUUCCCGGAUGAUACAAGAUAGUGAUAUCAUAGUCCUUCAGUAGUUCCAUCCAUCUCCUCUGUCUCAAAUUCAAAUCUUUUUGAGUAAAGACAUAUUGUAGGCUACGAUGAUCCGUAUAGACCUCACACUUAACCCCAUAUAAAUAGUGUCUCCAUUGCUUAAUGCGAACACUACCGCGGCCAAUUCCAAAUCAUGAGUUAGAUAGUUAUGUUCAUGCACUUUUAAUUGUCGUGAGGCAUAAGAAAUCACAUUCUUCUCUUGCAUUAGCACUGCACCCAAACCCGAACAGGAUGCAUCACAAUAGACAAUGAAAUUCUUACCUUUCACUGGCAAGGUGAGAAUUGGUACAGUAGUCAACAGAGUCUUGAGCUUCUGAAAGCUUUCCUCACACUCAUCUGACCAUACAAAUGGAACAUUUUGCAUAGUCAAGUUCGUCAGUUGGGAAGCAAUAGAAGAGAAUCCCUUGACGAAUCGGCGGUAGUAGCUAGCUAACCCAACAAAGCUCCUUAUUUCUGACACAUUAGUAGGUCUUACCCCAUUCUUCACUGUCUCAAUCUUAGAAGGAUCCACCAUCACUCCAUCCUUAGAAACCACGUGCCCUAAGAAGAACACUGCAUCUAGCCAAAACUCACACUUAGAGAACUUGGCAUAAAGCUUUUUCUCCCUCAACAUUUCCAAUACCAUUCUCAAAUGCUCCUCAUGUUCCUCCUUACUUUUAGAGUAUAUCAGUAUAUCAUCAAUAAAUACGACCUCAAAGAGAUCCAAAUAUGGCUUAAAAAUCCCGUUCAUCAAACUCAUGAACGCAGCAGGGGCAUUCGUAAGACCAAAAGACAUCACUACAAAUUCGUAAUGCCCGUACCUAGUUCUAAAAGCAGUCUUUGGCACAUCCGUUGCCCGUAUUUUCAAUUGAUGAUAACCGGAUCUCAAGUCAAUCUUAGAGAAGACACAAGCACCUUGUAAGUGAUCGAACAAGUCAUAAAUGCGAGGAAGAGGAUACUUGUUCUUUAUGGUUACCUUGUUCAACUGCCGGUAGUCUAUGCACAUCCGAAAACUCCCAUCCUUCUUCUUUACAAACAAAACCGGAGCACCCCAAGGAGAUGCACUUGGUCUAAUGAAGCCUUUGUUCAACAACUCUUGAAGUUGGGCUUUUAACUCUCUUAACUCCGCGGGAGCCAUUCUAUAAGGGGGUAUAGAAAUGGGGCGAGUACCUAGUUCAAGAUCAAUACAAAAGUCAAUAUCCCUAUCUGGUGGCAUACCACAAAGAUCUGCAGGGAACACAUCCAGAAACUCACGGACCACCAAAACCGACUCAAUCGGAGGUACUUGGGUAGUGUCAUCCUUGAGAUGUGCCAAGAAAGCUAAACACCAUUUACUAACCAUUUUCUUAGCACGAAGAAAGGAGAUGAUACGCACCGGAUUGGAAGUGUAGUCACCUUCCCACACUAACGGAUCUGUCCCAGGCUUGGCUAACGUCACCGUUUUAGCAUUACAAUCCAAGAUCGCAAAUUGCGAAGAAAGCCAAGUCAUACCCAGAAUUACAUCAAAAUCAUCCAUUUCUAAGAUAACCAAAUCUACAUAAGUGUUUCUCCCCACAAAGUUCACCAAACAAGACAUAUAUACCUUUUCAACUACCACAGACUCACCCAUCGGAGUAGAAACACGAAUAGGCAUAUCAAGUAAUUCACAAUGUAAAUUUAGACCAUUAGCAAAUGAGGAAGAUACAUAAGAAAAUGUGGAUCCAGGAUCAAACAAUACAGAAGCCAUGCAAUCACAAACCAGAAGAUUACCUGUGAUGACAGCAUCAGAUGCCACCGCUUCAGACCGCCCAGGGAAAGCGUAACAAUGGGCCCUAUCGUUUGUCUGUCCAUUGCCCCUACCAUGUUGUGAUGUAGUGGCUCCAGUUUGCCCAUCACCUCGGCCAUUUUGGUGACCACCAUUACCUCGACCACCACGUCCUCCAGAAUAACGGCCUCUACCAUGACCACCUCUACCUCUAGCCAUUGGGGAUCUAUAACUCUGUUUUGGACAAUUUCUCCUAAUAUGUCCAGUCUCCCCACAACCAUAACACUCUCUAGAGACAAGCAUAGGUCUCUCAGAGAAGUGUUGACCGGUCUGAGGUGGACCCCCAACUGCAGUCUGUAGUGAAGACUGAAUGGGUCGAACUGAGUAACCUCCGGAACCCUGUCCUCUAGAGUAAGAACCAUUAAACUCACCUCCCUUUCGAAACCUCUUUGAUGUCGAUGCCAUGGUGAAUUUAUCUGGCUUCACUCCUUCCACCUCUACCACGAAAUCUACCACUUCUUGGAAGGAUUUUGCCGUAGCCGCUACCUGUAAGGCUGAAAUCCGCAACUCCGACCUCAACCCCUUCACAAAACGACGAAUCCGCUCUUGUGGACCGAAACAAAGUUGAGUGGCAUAUCUGGAUAGUGCACGAAACUUAGUCUCGUAUGCAUUGACCGACAUCCUACCUUGCUCUAGGCUCAAGAACUCAUCCCUUUUCCUAUCCCUCAAAGUCCGGGGGAUAUACUUCUCCAUAAACAAGCUAGAGAAUGAGGCCCAAGUCAUAGGUGGUGCCUCCGUUGGUUGACACUCAACAUGUGACCGCCACCACAUUUUGGCGUUCCCUUGAAACUGAUAACUCACGAACUCAACACCAAACCGUUCCACUAUACCCAUCUUGUGUAGUAGCUCAUGACAGUCAACCAGAAAAUCGUAAGCAUCCUCAGAUUCAGCACCCUUGAAGACUGGAGGUUUCAAUAUCAAGAACUUACUGAAAAGUUCAUGCUGAUCAUUUGUCAUUAUAGGCCCAGUAGUCAGACGUGGAAAUGUGCCUAUAUCCAAUGAGGCAUCCAUACGAGGAGCCAUAGUGGCUGCAUGUUGUACCUCUAAAACCGGAGGUGUUGGUGCAGAAAACACUGGAGGGACCUGACCCUGAUCAGACAACCCACUAAGAUAAGCGAGAACCUGAUUGAUCAUCUCUGGGGUAGGUUGGGGUGGAAAUUCCUAAUUUUGCACUUGUCAUUCUCUCCUUCCUCACCCUCUCUUACCACUUCCUCAGUCGGUGGAGGAGUCACCGCCCUAGUAUCAGACGGGCUAGGUGCUCAUCCUCUUCCUCUAGAGGACGUCCUCCCACGACCUCUACCACGGCCUCUUGCCGCUACUCUUCCUCGAGCUACAGCCCCAGUGGCUGGCUCAGGCGUUUCUUGUCUUGCCGAUGUUGGCGCAGUCGUUGCUCUAGUUCUAACCAUCUGCGAAAUAGAGUGAAGAUGGUCAGAUACCAAUUCGUAUCACCUAGACACCAAUUGGACCCAAGUAAUAGCACGAAAGAAAGAAAGAAAGAAUGGAAUUUUCCUAAAGUCUUAUAGCCUCUCAAAGAAGAGUAAAGGCGUCCCCCUACCGUUCCUUAAGACUCUACUAGACUCGUUCUUGUGUGAUGAGACCAACGAACCUAAUGCUCUGAUACCAAGAAGUUUUUGAGUAGGAAAAACUUCUUUCGUUUUUGGAAAUCUAGAAUUUGUUUGAAAAGUCAUUUUAUAAUUGAAAUUAUGUCACGAUCAAAAAUGAAUAGUAAGUGUUACCCACACUUAACCUUUUAAGUGGGCAAAUCAAGAAUUCUUAACCCCAACUUAUAUCAAUAAUUCAACUACGCAUACCAAUAAAAUAUGGAAGCUUAAAACUUAUUGAAGUAACCAAUCAAAUAAACAUCUAAAGUUUAACACUUAUCAUCCCAAAUAUCUAAAAGUUAUCACAUCAAUGACAUCUAUUUUUAAAAUACCCAGUCAAAAAGUAUUAGUGACACCAAAGUAAGUAAAUAAAAGGGUUCAUGUCCAAAAUUUAAGGACAUCAUACCCUGACUGAGAUAAUCCAGCACGAGCUAGAAGGAAUAGGUCACCCUGAAAUAUGAGGUGCUGGAGAAUGGCUAGAGUUGAGGGCGAGUCGAAGUCGAUGAUAGACUUGUUGCCCUCCACAAAAGAAAAAACGAAGAAAACACAAGUAGGGGCCAGUACAAGAAACACGUACUGAGCAGGUAUCAUCAGCCAACCCAAAAUAGAAACUAAUAUAUAUUGAAUAAUAGUAUAAAAUCAACUAUGAUACUUGACAGGUGGCAAGCAACAAACAACAUAAACCAGUAACAACAACACCAUAGUAGGUACACAGUCAAUCACAUUAUCAAGAACACAUAUGAGGACUCAUGCCUCCACACCAUACUCAUUUGGGAAAUGGAUUCUUUGAGAUUAAGUACAUUAAGUUAAUCCAAGAUUUCUUUCCUUUAAUGUUAUCGUGUUGGAAUGUGACACUUUGAUCCAAUUAUAUCGUGUUGGAACGUGAUACUGUCACGACCCAAAUCCGGGCCGCGACUGGCACCCACACUUACCCUCCUAUGUGAGCGAACCAACCAAUCUAAACCUUAACAUUUCGAUAUAAUGUCAACAUAAAGUAAUGCGGAAGACUUAAACUCAUUAAUAAAAACCAAUUCAAUAACUAUUAUUUCCCAAAAUCUGGAAGUCAUCAUCACAAGAACAUCUACUUCAAAUUACUAAAUCUAAGAGUUUCUAAGAAGCUAAAAAUACAUAAAAGCUAGUUCAUGCCGGAACUUUAAGGCAUCAAGACAUGAAGAGGAAGAUCCAGUCCAAGCUAGAAGCAUUAGCUCACCCUGAUAUCCAGAGUAAUGAAGACUGGCUAGAGUUACUGUUGAGUCGAAGAUGACGGCACGUUUGCUGCACUCCACAAAUAAACAAGAAGAAAACAUAAAAGUAGGGGUCAGUACAAAGCACGGGUACUGAGUAGAUAUCAUCGGCCAACUCAAAAUAGAAAUCAAUAUAUACCAAGUAAUAUCAUAAAAUCAACUAUGAUACUCAACAUGUAGCAACAACAAGUACUAUAUCAUUAACAAUUACCGUCAGUUCACACAUGAGGACUCAAGCUUCAAUACCGUACUCAUUUGGGAAUUAUGUUCAUUAGAUUGAGUAUAUUACCAUCUUUCAAGAUUCAUUAUCUUUAUUUCUCUUGUGUCGGUACGUGACACUCCGCUCCCUCAUAUUCAUUAAUCCUCUUGUGUCGGUACGUGACACUCUGCUCCCCUAAAUCUACGUGUCGAUUCGUGACACCCGAUCCCCUAAAUCUACGUGUCGGUUCGUGACACCCGAUCCCCUAAAUCUACGUGUCAGUUCGUGACACCCGAUCCCCUAAAUCUACGUGUCGAUUAGUGACACCCGAUCCCCUAAAUCUACGUGUCGGUUCGUGACACCCGAUCCACUAAAUCUACGUGUCAGUUCGUGACACCCGAUCCCCUAAAUCUACGUGUCGGUUCGUGACACCCGAUUCCCUAAUCUCCUUCUAUCAAUUCAUCAAGCCUUCUUUCUUACCAAGGCAUCAUCAAUCUCAUUAUUUUAGUUCAUCACGCCUUCUUUUAUACCAAGGCCUCAUUAUUAACAGAAAGAUUAGGGUUUUGCAAGAUUUGGGAUUCAAUAACUUCAUCAUGCUUAUAUAAUCACAAUUAUAUAAUUACAUUCAUGCAAGCAUACAAUUAAGCACAUAGCAGGGUUUACAAUAUUAUCAAUACAUAUCAUUCGCUAUUAAGAGUUUACUACGAAUAUCAUAAGGGAAACCAUAACCUACCUCCACCGAAGAUUCAUGAUCAAGCAAGCAAUUUCCCAAGCUUUGUGUUUUUUCCUCUCGUUCGAUCCUCUCUCUAUCGUUUCUCGUUCCUUCUCUUUGUUCUUUCUAUUUUCUUUAUUCAAACCCUCUUUCUUUUACCCUAAUUAGUAUAUAAUUAAGAAUAAAAGAUGACAAUAAUAACCCACUAAUUAACUUAAGGUUACCUCUUUUAACCCCCAAGUAAUUAGACUUAUUAACAUUGACCCACUAACUUUAUAAUUAAAGCAGGAAUAGUCAAAAACGUCCCUUAAAACGUAUCAAGAAAUCCGACCCAGACUGAGAUUACGCAGUCUGUGACGGCCCGUCGUGCCUGCGACGGUCCGUCCUGCUGCUCCGUCACAGAGUUCAGAGACUCAAUUUCUCUGAAGAGUCUGUGACGGUCCGUCACACCUAUGACGGUCCGUCCUGCCAUUCCGUUACGAAGUUCAGAGAGUCGAUUUUCAGUACCCAAUUUCAGAUUUUUCCAAGUGUUUUGAAACGAGACCCUGCGACGGUCCGUCGUGGGGUCCGUCGCCUCAGCCUGUUUUUCCAGAAAUAAAAUAUGCUGCUCAAAACGACUAAACAGGUCGUUACAGAUACUCGAUCCAAUAAUAUUGUGUCAGAACGUGACACUCUGAUCCAAUUAUCUCAUUAAUUUAUUUUAUCAAGCCUUCUUUAUCCAAGGCAUCACUUUGAUAGAGAGGGUUCAAGAUUAUAAAUUCUACGGUCUCAAGAAAUUUGACCAAUCACAAACCACACAACCACACAAUCAAGUACAUAGGAAACUUCACAAUAUCACUCAAUACAUAUCAAUCACUAUUGAGGAGUCGAUCUAUCAAUUAGAUAUAACCAUAAUCUACCUCCACCGAAGAACCAAAUUCAAGCAAGCUGCUUUACCAAUACUUUUCCUUUCCGCAAUGCCUUCGAACUUUUUCAAUCUAUCAAGUAUAUAUAUGUGCAUAACUUGUAAGGUAAUGAAUCUAUCAACACUCAAUUUAUUCUAUGUUUAGCUAGAUUCAAAAACUCACCUAAUUUUAUAAAUAAUUUUCUAAAGUUCAAACCUAAAGAUAAGUCUAGAUUCGUUCAAUUAGCAUAAUUAAAUGAAAUUUAAAUAAUUCAAUAUACUUAAUACAUAAUUACAUAUUUACGUAAAUUAAAACAUAAAUAAUGUGAUAACUUUUACCUAAGGACGAACAUCAAUGUUAUAUUGUGAUGAUUGACGAACUAACAUAUUCCAAUAUUUUAACUGUAUAGCCUAAAUCAUUGUCCAAUGAUAAGGCAAUCAUUGUCAAAUGAUUGGCAUGAGAGCCAUUCUAAUUUUUACCAAAUUCUCAAAUUCCUUCCUUACCAAAUUUUUUUUCUAACUUUUCCGAAUCAAGCCUAUUAGUUUUUUGUACAUCUAACAUAAAAAUCCUACCCUUCGAGAAAGUCACUCACGUGUAUAAGUAGGGGUGAUAAAUGAGCGAGUCGAAUCGAAUAUGGGUCGAUCAAAAAAUGAGUUAAACAAAAAUAGAUAAAUUAUUCGACUUGCUUCAUUUUAAACGGGUAAAGCGAGCUUACCCAAUGGAUAAUAUAGAUAACUAUAUUGCAUAUAUUAUAUUGAAGAUCUUAUUAAAUGUUUUAAAAAAUAUAUUUAUUUAUUUUAUCAAUUAACUCCACCCCCCCCCCCACAACCACCUCCCAAGAAAAUGUUAAAACAAAACUCUAACACCCCCCCCCCCCUCCCACCCACAAUCCAAAAAAAGAUUAACAAAUUUUUUUAAAAAAAUCUAUAAUUUUCUUUUACUUUUUAAAAAAAAUUACCACCCCACCCGCUGGACCCUACUGUCCCCCCCCCCCCACUAUCAGUCCCCCAGCCCCACCCCACCCGCUACUCCUACCAGCUCCACACACCCAUCCAAAAAAAAUGAUUAAUCUUUUUUAAGAAAAAAUUCAUUAAAUUUUUUUUAAAAAAUUUCAUAAAAAAAUAAAUAAAUGACAACUUAGAUAAAUAAACAAUGUUUUAAUAAGCACACAUUUUAUAAGAACAUCAUGGACGACAUAUUAACAAAAUAACAACAUUUAUAGCUAUAAUUUUAAAAAUAAUUUAAGUAAUUGAUAAAGGUCACUGACAACAUUUAAUAUAAGUUAAAUUUAUCUAUAGGUGCAUUCAACAAUAAAAUAUUCAUAAUUAAUAAUGUCACUCAUCAUACUAAAAUUUAUAAAUGACUAAUUUCUUUUACGAUAAAAAAAAUAUAUUUAUUUAAUAUAAAUUAAAUUUAUCUUUAGGUGCAAUUAACGACAAAAUAUUCAUGAUUAAUAACACCACUCAUCGUAGAGAAAUUUGUAGGUGACUAAUCUCUUUUAUGAUUAAAAAUUGUUAUUUUAAAAUAUUAAAGUAAUAUUAUAGCUAAACAACUGAAGAUAGAUAAUAAAUGAAUAAGAAAAACAAUAACAUUACAUAAAAAUAUGUAAAAUGAAAAGCAAACAAAUGAAUUACAAUUAUGUAGAUAUAAUAACAUUAUUUUCUUAACAAAAAGAAUUUUUUAAAAGUUAAAAACAAGAACUAAUUAAAAAUAAAAAAAAUAUGUGUCAAAGUUUGGACAAUCAAAAGUGAUUUUGAAAUUUCUCUCUCCUAAAGCUACAUUGUUUAGCCAUUACGUAAGUCUCCGUUUGAGCAACAUAUGUCAUUUUAGCGUCAUGUGUCAUUGUAUUGUCAUCCUUUUGACUUGUGUUUUUCUAUAAUUCAAAAUUUAAUUUUCAAUUUCGUUUGUAUAAUUCUUUCAUUUUACUUUCUUUUUCUUAGUGAGUAGUUUUUUCAUCUUUUAAGUUAUGUUUAUUUUGUCUGUUUCAAUUUUUUUAGUUCUCUUCUUCUUUCUUUUUUUAUUGAUAUGAUAUGACAAUCCAUUUGUCAUGAUUUUUCUUUCUUAUUAGUAAAUUUAAAAGCAAUUUAAGUUUAUUUCUUUAUUUUUUACUAUUUUCCAGUUCUGCUUUUGCUACGGAUCAAUCGCUUCGGUUAUUUUUAGUGAAUUCUUUCCCUUUUUGUUCAUCUUUCUAAUUUUAUAUAUUCUAUUAUAUGUUACUUUCUGUAUUUUCAAAUUAAUUAACAUAAUUAAAUGAUUAUGUGUUAAAAGUAAUUAGUUCAUUUAGUUAGUUAGUUAUAAUUAUAGAGUAGUUAGUUACAAUUCAAGAAGUUAGUUACUUGGGAAAUUCUUGAUUAAGGCCUCUAUAUAAACACUUCAUUGUAUCUCAAUGUGAUUAAGAACAUGAAUAAUAAAAGCUGAGAUAUUCUCUCUGUAUACUCUUCUUCUUCUUAGCUCAUCUUCUCUUCUCUUUGACUAAUCUGUUUUCCCUCUUCUUCAUCUUCUUCUUCUCUCUUUACUUCAUAACAAGUACAUGGUAUCAAAGCAGGGGAUCUAACCCUGUGAAAUCUGAAUUGCUAUUGCUUCCGCGCUAAUCAAUCGUAAAAAACAUUGAAUCAAUCGAAAUCUCUGAAAAAAUGGCUGGAGAUGAUGAACCAGUAAUUGUUCAAGAGAAUGUCAAUCGAGCUGCCAACAUUGGUCAAGAAAUUGACUACAAUCAUCCAUUGUUCUUAUCUCCAUCAGAUGUUAGUGGAAAUCAGAUCAUUUCAUUCCAGCUAACAGGUAUGGAAAACUAUGCAAUCUGGUUUCGAUCUAUGCGAAUUGCUCUACUAGGAAGAAAUAAACUUGGAAUGGUAGAUGAAUCAUGUGAUAAAGAAAAUUAUAGUGAGAAUCUAUGGAAUCACUGGGAUCGAGUUGAUGCCAUUGUUCAAUCUUGGCUGAUGAACUCUGUUUCUAAGAGUUUACUAGGAGGCAUUAUGUAUGCAGCCACAGCUAAAGCAGUUUGGCAAGAUCUACAAGAAAGGUUCAUCAAGGUAGAUGGUUCAAGAACCUUCAACCUGCAUAAGGAAAUAGCCACUUUAACUCAAGGAGUGAACUCUGUAACAGUCUAUUUCUCCAAGCUCAAGACCCUUUGGGAGGAAUUUGAGGCUUUGGUACCACCACCUGGCUGUAACUGUGAAAGAUCGAAAGAGUUCAUAGUGCAUUUGCAAAAACUGAAACUAUUUCAGUUUCUGAUGGGGCUGAAUGACUCAUAUAAUCAAGCAAGAAGUCAGAUACUACUUAUGAGUCCAUUACCUUCAAUCAAUCAAGCCUAUGCUAUGAGUCUGCUUUGUACAACAGAACAAAUGGUAAUCAAAAGUUUACAAGAAAUUCUCAUUUGUAUUGUGAUGUUUGCAAAAUAAGAGGACACAAUAAGGAUAAUUGUUGGAAAAUAGUGGGAUAUCCCCCUGAAUUCAAGUUCAAAAAAAGGAAAUUAUCUGAAGGAGGAAGUGCAGCUUACAAUGUGAGUGCAAAAGAAAACACUCAAAAUGAAGUACUUCAGGCUGGAAAUGAGCAAUCUGAGUUCAAGUAUGGUUCUGAUACUAAUGUGUUCAGUAAUGGAAAAGGUUCAAGUAGCAUGGAUCAAAUUCAGUCCAAACCAAGUCGAGUUGAGGCUAAUCACUUUACACAAGAUCAAUACAAUCAUAUAGUACAGAUGCUAGCACAACACAGUCCUCAAGUCAACCAGAAUUCUAUGUCUAACACAGCUGCAAACACAGCAGGUAUGACUAGCUUAAUGGCUAUGAAUGUGUCUCACAAACCUAAUUGGAUUGUGGACACAGGAGCAACAAAUCAUAUGGCUUCAAGUUUAGAGCAAUUAAACAAGCUAUCAGUUAAUAAGUUAGGCUAUAAUAGAACUGUUGAAUUGCCUAAUGGAGAUGAAACAAGAGUUACUCAUACUGGAUUAAGUAGUAUAUCUGAUGGUAGUACUAUAUCUAAUGUAUUGUAUGUACCAGAAUUCAAAUUUAAUUUGUUAUCAGUUUCAAAACUAACAAAAGAGUUACAAUGUUCUGCUUCUUUCUUUCCUGAUUUUUUGUUUUGCAGGAUCUCUUCACUGGGAAGGUGAAGGAGAUUGGUAGAGAGCAGAAUGGAUUAUAUUGGCUACUAAAUAAAGAUGCAAGAAGGUCUAUCAGUCUAGCUGCUCAAGAUGUUAAGAAUGUGUCAACAGACAAGAUAAAUCUGUGGCACAAAAGACUAUGAGAAUAUUUCUG